UUCCGGUUGAUCCUGCCGAAGGCUACUGCUAUUGGAGUUCGAUUAAGCCAUGCGAGUCUAAGGGGUACUUGUACCCCUGGCGGAAUGCUCAGUAACACGUGGACAAUCUGCCCUCGGGUGGGGAAUAAACCCGGGAAACUGGGGCCAAUUCCCCAUAGAUACAGAUAGCUGGAAUGCUUCUGUAUUCAAAGCUCCGGCGCCUGAGGAUGGGUCUGCGGCCUAUCAGGUUGUAGUCAGGGUCAAGACCUGACUAGCCAGCGACGGGUAUGGGGUGUGAGAGCACUUGCCCAGAGAUGGUUUCUGAGACACGAAACCAGGCCCUACGGGGCGCAGCAGGCGCGAAAACUUCGCAAUGCGGGAAACCGUGACGAGGGAACUCCAAGUGUCUAUGCAUUGCAUAGACUGUUUUUUAGCCUAAAUAGCUAUUAGAGUAAGGGGUGGGCAAGACCGGUGCCAGCCGCCGCGGUAACACCGGCACCUCGAGUGGUAGCCACUAUUAUUGGGCCUAAAGCGUUCGUAGCCGGUUUGGUAAAUUCUUGGGUAAAUCGUACCGCUUAACGGUGCGGAUUCCGGGGACACUACCAGACUUGAGACCGGGGGAGAUCAGAGGUACUUGCGGGGGAGCGGUGAAAUGUUGUAAUCCCGCAGGGACCACCAGUGGCGAAGGCGUCUGAUCAGAACGGCUCUGACGGUGAGGAACGAAACCCUGGGGCGCAAACGGGAUUAGAUACCCCGGUAGUCCAGGGCGUAAACGCUGCUGACUUGGUGUUGGGGAUCCUACGAGGAUGUCCAGUGCUGGCGCGAAGGUAUUAAGUCAGCCGCCUGGGGAGUACGGUCGCAAGACUGAAACUUAAAGGAAUUGGCGGGGGAGCACUGCAACGUGUGGAGCGUGCGGUUCAAUUGGAUUCAACGCCGGA
rnacentral:rRNA from 1 species